AUUGGCCCUUGACCAGCCUGAUUGGUUGCAGGAGGGGACCAAUCAGAGGUACCUCCCAUUUUUCAUCUGCAGCCCAAUGCAAAGUAAUGACAUGGAUCUGGAGAGAUUCUCUUAGGAGAGAAUCUGGCUAAGUGUCUAGCAGGAUGAUUGAUUAACAAGAUGUUUUGUUUUCAUCAUCUCAGAGAUAAGUACAACUAUUCUGUCAUCUAAUCUGCUAACUCCUACAUUAUCAAUACGCUGUAUUGAGGUAUAAUUGAUAUGCCAAAUAACUGGACACAUUCAACUUGUGCAAUUUGAUGAGUUUGGAGAUACACAUACAUCUGUGAAACCAUCACCAAAAUCAAGAGAAAGUGGACUAUGAACAAUCGAAAGAAAGUGGUGGAUGGUUUCUGGAAGGACAAGUCUGCACCAGAGAAUAAAAGGGCAUUCCUUAGGGUUGCUGAGGAUUUUCUUUGAUUGUAUUCUGCUAAUGUGUGUGCAAGGCAGAUAUAACACAUUUGUGGAAGGCUCUAGAGACAUUUUCUACAAAUUUUACCCUGGUUUCAGAACAACUUUCUCUGAUCUCUGUGGACAUGCUUAAAAUGGCUGACUCACACAGCAAGACUAUUUAACUGUGCCUAAAAUCAACCCACAUUCAGAUGCUAACUGUAAUCCUAUUCCCUGAUCCAUCAGGAAAAAGAGUCUGAUUGACAUAACUUGUCAAGUGUUCGCCCCAGCUUCUAUCAACUAUGGGGAAGGAAGGGCCAGAAGAGGUGUAACCAUCAUGGCUACCAGAGUACAUGGUUUCCAGGCCAAAUACCACAGUGUUCCAGGCAAGGAUGUGGUCAGUUUCCUUCUCUGCUGGAUCCCAAAGCCCAGGGCAGCUCUUGCACAUAGAUCGUUGUCAUUGGAUUUAAGAGGGCCUACCCUGAUAAUACAGGAUAAACUCCUUCUCCCAAAACCUUUUCUUCUCUCAGAAUCUUUUGGCAGCAAACACAUUCAAGCAUCUUCUAUGUGCCAAGAACUUGCUGGAAAACAUCACAAAAGUUAAUAUUUUCUGGAGAUCAAGGAAUGAAACUCAGCCCUCUGCAAAUGGAACACAAACGCCUGGUACAUGGAUGCUACAAUGAAAAGAAUAUGGGUGCUGAAAUCAGAGAGAAUCAUCCAAGAUGAUCCUUAUGCAUGCUGAACUCUGAGAGCCACCAGUGAAGAAGAUAAGUGACCCAUCUACCUGUAGCUGGAAAAUAAAGGCUCUUUGGGAUUCUUUCCCAUGAGUCUUCAUUUCACCAUAUUGGUGAGAGAAGGCAUUCAGGCCCAAUAAUUAACUGAACAUUAGCUGUGUACCAGACACUGUGGUCGACAUUGAGAUAUAACGGAUUUAAGAAAGUCUUUGUGGCUGUGGUGGCUUCAAAUCACUCCCGAGGCUUUAGAAGAAUAUAAUUGCCGUUCUAAGAAGAAUCUGAGGCCUCUAGGAGAUCUGCCAGUAGUGGCCCCAAUGUAUAACAGCACUAGCUCAGUGAAGAGAGAGAGAAAAGAUCUGAAGAGAGUGGUUGCAGUUUGAGCUCUGUCAAUGGGACAGUCCUGGGCAGGAGACUGGGGAGAAGAGGCGGCUUGCUGGUUUUCCUGAACCACUUCCACCCUGAAAGACUCCUUGCAUACAAUCAUCAGAGAAGAACCGUGGGAACCAAGAACCAUGAGCAGGAGAACCAUGAGCACACUGUUCGCAAUGGCCAAGAUUUGGAGGCAACCUAAGUGUCCAUCGACAGACAAAUGGUUAAAGAAAAUGAGGAAGGAAUAUCAAGAAAAUAGACUACAAAUAAAUGUCUUUUAUUUCUACUUCUUCAAUAUAUAUUAUAACAUUCUUCUUGCCAACUGAUCUUCUUGCCUCCAAUUUGACCCCUCUGAUCCACCAAGUAUUGCAUACUACCGUGUUUUGAGACAUAGGAGGAGGAAAAAACCAUGGCUGCGGAGGUGAUUUAAUAUCCUGUUGACUCUGAAGAAAAAUACACUUCUUCAUUAUAAGAGUUUUAUUGCCAAUGACUAGAAGGAAAUGUAAAGGGGACAACACAAGAUGACUAACACAGGAAGUUAUAAAACUCACAGCUCUAACUGUCAUGGCCCUGGGCCCAUGGUGCCUGAAUCCCUCUGGGAGUAUUAAAUGGAAGGCCCCCUGGUACCUGAAUUUUGUUUUAGUUUUCUCUCUCCAUCUCUGUGAUUACACAUAAAAUCAGCCAAGCACCUGCUCCCCUCCAGCCUAGAUAACACAUACCUCCAUGCUAUAAAGGGACAAUUUGACCAAGAGACACCCACCUCACCUGACCACAGAGCUGGAAAAUCUACUAUGUCAGACUUCCAUGCAACCGCUGGUGGGAGAAAGUUUUCACGAGUCUCUCUGGGCCCUUAUCCCUCUCCCCUGUAUUCCCAUCCUUAUCCAAAUCCACAUUUCACCAAACUCCCUAACGCUAAGCAGCUGUUGAAGUUCAGAUCACAGUCUCUGAGGAGCUCCUGGUUUCCCAUGGAAUGUGAUUUGCCUCAUCAUCUUACAGCCUGCCUCCACUUUGCUUUCUUAUCAUUUCAGAGGCUU
rnacentral:lncRNA from 1 species